rnacentral:misc_RNA from 1 species
GAUGAAGAACGCAGCGAGAUGCGAUAAGUAAUGUGAAUUGCAGAAUUCCGUGAAUCAUCGAAUCUUUGAACGCACAUUGCGCCCUCUGGUAUUCCGGGGGGCAUGCCUGUCCGAGCGUCAUUUGCAACCCUCAAGCCCGGCUUGUGUGAUGGGUGCCGUCCCCUACGGGACGCGCCCCGAAGGCAAUGGCGGCGUCGCGGUUAUCCGAUCAGCCAAAGUGUAUGGGGCUUUGUCACUCACUUUACGGCCCGGACCGGCGCCAGUCCGAAUCAAUCUUUUUUCUAAAGUUGACCUCGGAUCAGGUAGGGAUACCCGCUGAACUUAAGCAUAUCAAUAAGCGGAGGA